rnacentral:rRNA from 1 species
GUGGCUGAUCAUGGCUCAGAUUGAACGCUGGCGGCAUGCUUAAUACAUGCAAGUCGAACGGUAACAGAUUCUUCGGAAUGCUGACGAGUGGCGGACGGGUGAGUAAAGCAUAGGAAUCUGCCCAUGUAGUGGGGGAUAACUUGGGGAAACUCAAGCUAAUACCGCAUAAUUCCUACGGGAUAAAAGGGCCUCUACUUGUAAGCUCUUGCUAUUGGAUGAGCCUAUGUCGGAUUAGUUAGUUGGUGAGGUAAUGGCUCACCAAGACAGCGAUCCGUAGCUGGUUUGAGAGGAUGAUCAGCCACACUGGGACUGAGACACGGCCCAGACUCCUACGGGAGGCAGCAGUAGGGAGUAUUGGACAAUGGGCGCAAGCCUGAUCCAGCAAUGCCGCGUGUGUGAAGAAGGCCUGCGGGUUGUAAAGCACUUUCAAUUGGGAAGAAAGAUUUAGAGUUAAUACCUCUUCAUAUUGAUGUUACCCACAGAAGAAGCACCGGCUAACUCUGUGCCAGCAGCCGCGGUAAUACAGAGGGUGCGAGCGUUAAUCGGAAUUACUGGGCGUAAAGGGUGCGUAGGCGGUUAGAUAAGUUAGGUGUGAAAGGCCCGGGCUUAACCUGGGAACUGCGCCUAAUACUGUUUAGCUAGAGUAUUGUAGAGGAAAGUGGAAUUUCCGGUGUAGCGGUGAAAUGCGUAGAUAUCGGAAGGAACAUCAGUGGCGAAGGCGACUUUCUGGACAAAUACUGACGCUGAGGCACGAAAGCAUGGGGAGCAAACAGGAUUAGAUACCCUGGUAGUCCAUGCCGUAAACGAUGAAGACUGGCUGUUGGGUGCCAUAGGCACUUAGUAGCGAAGCUAACGCGUUAAGUCUUCCGCCUGGGGAGUACGACCGCAAGGUUAAAACUCAAAGGAAUUGACGGGGGCCCGCACAAGCGGUGGAGCAUGUGGUUUAAUUCGACGCAACGCGAAGAACCUUACCUACCCUUGACAUCCUCAGAAUUUUGCUGAGAUAGCGGAGUGCCUUCGGGAACCGAGUGACAGGUGCUGCAUGGCUGUCGUCAGCUCGUGUCGUGAGAUGUUGGGUUAAGUCCCGUAACGAGCGCAACCCCUGUCCUUAGUUGCCAUCAGGUAAAGCUGGGAACUCUAAGGAGACUGCCGGUGAUAAACCGGAGGAAGGUGGGGAUGACGUCAAGUCCUCAUGGCCCUUAUGGGUAGGGCUACACACGUGCUACAAUGGGCAGUACAAAGAGAUGCGAAGCUGUGAAGUGUAGCGAAUCUCAUCAAAGCUGUUCUUAGUCCGGAUUGGAGUCUGCAACUCGACUCCAUGAAGUUGGAAUCGCUAGUAAUCGUGGAUCAGAAUGCCACGGUGAAUACGUUCCCGGGCCUUGCACACAC